rnacentral:rRNA from 1 species
GAUGAACGCUGGCGGCGUGCCUAAUACAUGCAAGUCGAGCGAAGCGGGGACGGGUGAGUAACACGUGGAUAACCUCCUAUAAGACUGGGAUAACUUCGGGAAACCGGAGCUAAACCGGAUACUUAUAGAUGGAUCCGCGCUGCAUUAGCUAGUUGGUAAGGUAACGGCUUACCAAGGCAACGCUGCAUAGCCGACCUGAGAGGGGGAGGGGCAACAGUGGGACGGAGACACGGUCCAGAGGCCUACGGGAGGCAGAAGUGGGGAAUCGUCCGCAAUGGGGGAAAACCUGACGAAGCAACACCGAGGGAGUGAUGAAGGUAUUCGGAUCGGAAGACGCUGUGAGUAGGGAAGAGGUACCUAAUCAGAAAGCCACGGCUAACUACGUGACAGCAGCAGCGGGAAGAC